rnacentral:rRNA from 1 species
UGUAUAAUGGGUCAGCGACUUAUAUUCUGUAGCAAGGUUAACCGAAUAGGGGAGCCGAAGGGAAACCGAGUCUUAACUGGGCGUUAAGUUGCAGGGUAUAGACCCGAAACCCGGUGAUCUAGCCAUGGGCAGGUUGAAGGUUGGGUAACACUAACUGGAGGACCGAACCGACUAAUGUUGAAAAAUUAGCGGAUGACUUGUGGCUGGGGGUGAAAGGCCAAUCAAACCGGGAGAUAGCUGGUUCUCCCCGAAAGCUAUUUAGGUAGCGCCUCGUGAAUUCAUCUCCGGGGGUAGAGCACUGUUUCGGCAAGGGGGUCAUCCCGACUUACCAACCCGAUGCAAACUGCGAAUACCGGAGAAUGUUAUCACGGGAGACACACGGCGGGUGCUAACGUCCGUCGUGAAGAGGGAAACAACCCAGACCGCCAGCUAAGGUCCCAAAGUCAUGGUUAAGUGGGAAACGAUGUGGGAAGGCCCAGACAGCCAGGAUGUUGGCUUAGAAGCAGCCAUCAUUUAAAGAAAGCGUAAUAGCUCACUGGUCGAGUCGGCCUGCGCGGAAGAUGUAACGGGGCUAAACCAUGCACCGAAGCUGCGGCAGCGACACUGUGUGUUGUUGGGUAGGGGAGCGUUCUGUAAGCCUGUGAAGGUGUACUGUGAGGUAUGCUGGAGGUAUCAGAAGUGCGAAUGCUGACAU